rnacentral:sRNA from 1 species
CCAUAGCCCUGAUGGAAGCGACAUCCUUUUUAUAAAGCAAUUUUUCUUUGCUUUAUAAAAAGAUACAGCGGACAGCAGGAAACAGC